rnacentral:piRNA from 1 species
UUUCAUGUCAAUUAUUGAAGAUGAUGUUGGA